rnacentral:lncRNA from 1 species
AAAAAUCUAAAAAUCCAAUCUCCCAAAACCGUCGGUGGGACCAUAGUCACCUACCUCAAAGAUCUAGUGGGAUAUAAGGGUCAGCUUACGCUCUUCCUCUUCAACUAGGUGUGCUUCAAGGUCCACAGCACACCUCCAGCCAGAAGCAGGGAAGAAGGCUACCUCCUAGCUCAGUCCAGCAGAGAACUCCCUCACGUUGAUGAGUACAGGAGGAAGGAGGAGAAGGAACUAAGGGAUCUUAGGGGUCAAAAGGUGGAAGAGUGAUGCAAAAGGUGGAAAAGAGUGAGUAGACAUCACUUCCAUGCUUUUAUAAACAAAGUACAAUUGUAAAAAGACCCUCAGAAAUUAGAAUAAUGCACCUCAGCCCAAAAACGACUUUUCGGGUGCCCGGAACCAAACCUUCGGACGUCCGAAUCCAUUGGAGAUGUGCCCGCUUCACAAUCGGGCGUCCGAAUCCAUCGGAGAUGUGCCCGCUUCACAAUUGGACACCCAGACAGAAGCCC